rfam:Larimichthys crocea isolate SSNF unplaced genomic scaffold scaffold178, whole genome shotgun sequence.
GCCACGCUUUAGCAGCACGUAAAUAUUGGCGUGUGAGAAUAGACCCCAAUAUUAGCAGUGCUGCUUCAGUGUGGC